rnacentral:rRNA from 1 species
GACGUAGGAGGCGAGCGUUAUCCGGAUUCACUGGGCGUAAAGCGCAUGUAGGCGGCUGACAAAGUCGUGUGUUAAAGCCCCCGGCUCAACUGGGGGAGGUCAUGCGAGACUUGUCGGCUGGAGGGCAGCAGAGGAGCGUGGAACUCCCGGUGUAGCGGUGGAAUGCGUAGAGAUCGGGAAGAACACCAGUGGCGAAAGCGGCGCUCUGGGCUGCACCUGACGCUGAGAUGCGAAAGUGUGGGGAGCAAACGGG